GUAAUUCCUUUGGAGAAGGACUCACACAGGACACGUCAAAGAGAUGAAGAGGAGGCAUCUGAAAGCUCCAACGAUGCCGGUCAAGCUGAAGCCACAGAGCAAGAUGACCACGAAUAUUUCGGGAGGCAGAGAACAAUUCGUUCGAGAUUUCCAUCUUGCUGCUGUACUCUCGUUGACAAAUUAGUCAUCCCAGGCACUCCUACUAGCUUCUCUGUCUACAAUUUUUGUAGUCAUCCAUGUUCUGUUUCAUUACGCUGAUGUAUUCCUUUUUGUGCUUGCAGUCAAAUGGGUUCGUCUGUUUCUUUUCAUCAUUAUAAGGACUUUGUACCCUCGAACCCGACAUCUGGAGAAGAUUAAGAGAACCCAUAGAAAAGCCUUGGAACUCAUCGAAUUUUUAGCCCGCGACCCGAGAAACAUGGAGUUCUACGUGCUGGGAAGAAAACAAGGUGACGGCGGUGCUCCUGCGGCAGACCUUC